rnacentral:rRNA from 1 species
UACGUAGGGACCAAGCGUUGUUCGGAUUUACUGGGCGUAAAGGGCGCGUAGGCGGCUUGUCAAGUCACUUGUGAAAUCUCUGGGCUUAACCCAGAAUGGCCAAGUGAAACUGACAUGCUAGAGUGCAGAAGGGGCAAUCGGAAUUCUUGGUGUAGCGGUGAAAUGCGUAGAUAUCAAGAGGAACACCUGAGGUGAAGACGGGUUGCUGGGCUGACACUGACGCUGAGGCACGAAAGCCAGGGGAGCAAACGGG